UACAUGUUUUCUGGAACUCGCCACAGAC
rnacentral:piRNA from 1 species